GAUGAACGCUGGCGGCGUGCCUAAUACAUGCAAGUCGAGCGAACAGACGAGGAGCUUGCUCCUCUGACGUUAGCGGCGGACGGGUGAGUAACACGUGGAUAACCUACCUAUAAGACUGGGAUAACUUCGGGAAACCGGAGCUAAUACCGGAUAAUUUAUUGAACCGCAUGGUUCAAUAGUGAAAGACGGUUUUGCUGUCACUUAUAGAUGGAUCCGCGCCGCAUUAGCUAGUUGGUAAGGUAACGGCUUACCAAGGCAACGAUGCGUAGCCGACCUGAGAGGGUGAUCGGCCACACUGGAACUGAGACACGGUCCAGACUCCUACGGGAGGCAGCAGUAGGGAAUCUUCCGCAAUGGGCGAAAGCCUGACGGAGCAGCGCCGCGUGAGUGAUGAAGGUCUUCGGAUCGUAAAACUCUGUUAUUAGGGAAGAACAAAUGUGUAAGUAACUAUGCACGUCUUGACGGUACCUAAUCAGAAAGCCACGGCUAACUACGUG
rnacentral:rRNA from 1 species